rnacentral:rRNA from 1 species
ACUCCUGCGGGAGGCAGCAGUGGGGAAUAUUGCACAAUGGGCGCAAGCCUGAUGCAGCGACGCCGCGUGGGGGAUGAAGGCCUUCGGGUUGUAAACUCCUUUCGCUAGGGACGAAGCUUUUUUGUGACGGUACCUAGAUAAGAAGCACCGGCUAACUACGUGCCAGCAGCCGCGGUAAUACGUAGGGUGCGAGCGUUGUCCGGAAUUACUGGGCGUAAAGGGCUCGUAGGUGGUUUGUCGCGUCGUCUGUGAAAUUCUGGGGCUUAACUCCGGGCGUGCAGGCGAUACGGGCAUAACUUGAGUGCUGUAGGGGUAACUGGAAUUCCUGGUGUAGCGGUGAAAUGCGCAGAUAUCAGGAGGAACACCGAUGGCGAAGGCAGGUUACUGGGCAGUUACUGACGCUGAGGAGCGAAAGCAUGGGUAGCGAACAGGAUUAGAAACCCUUGUAGUCCCAU